UGUGCUGUUACGCUUGUCUCCACAUGCUUCCUUGUAUCCUUCUCACUUGCCCUAUCUGUUCCUCAGGCAGAUGCGGUAUCUUCCCUGGAAGCAUAAGAUGUUGAAGAUGAGUACUCGAGAGCAAUGGCAGGUAAGUAAGUUCCAGGCAGUCAGUUCCUGGCUGGAAGCUUGAUUCCAAGUGCUGACUGAUUGCUCUCUUUCUCCUUGUCUUGCAGGUAAGAACAAGGCCAAAGGAAAAGACAGGGAAAAAGCAUGAUAUGGGAUACUCUUGCUUUUAACCCUGAUGAUAUGAGAUAUUCUUGCUCUAGUAUAACUUGUUUGCAGAGGUAUUAUCGGGGGGAAAGAAAGCUGAAUAUUUCGAAAGGCUUCGUUGAGAGUGCCCUCUCAUAUAUGAGGAAGGGUUGAGCAUUUUUGCAGGUCUGUCUGUCCGUUGGGGAUAGAGGUUGACAUAUAUAAGAGUCUCCUUAACAACAAGUAGUAAUGCUAUUCCUUUACCCUGUCAGAGCACUUUGAAAAAGUGGUCUGUGGUAUGUGGAAAGCUGAUGUUGCGUGUGAAGAUUACAGACAGCUUUAUCCAAGGAGAUCCGGCUCUUGUGGUUGGGAAAGUGUUGCCUCUUCGGUUUUCGAACAAGCAAUCCUAUCAGGGAUCUGGCUCUCGAGAUUCGGAGAACGAUGUCUCUUCGAUUUUUGAGAAAGCAAUCAUGCUGGGGGUCUGGCUCUCGAGAUUCGGAGAGCGGUGUCUCUUCGAUUUUUGAGAAAGUAAUCAUGUUGGGAGUCUGGCUCUCGAGAUUCGGAGGGCGGUGCCUCUUCGAUUUUGGAGCAAGCAAUCUUGUUGGGAGUGUUUUCUCGAAUGUGAGUAAAGGUUGGGCAUGUUUGCUAGUCUACCUUGCCACGAAGCACAGAGGUUGACACACAAGGACUUUCCAAUUAUCCAGCAAUGGUACUGUUCCUUUACCCUCUCUUCGAUUUUUGAGAAAGUAGUCAUGUUGGGAGUCUGGCUCUCGAGAUUCGGAGGACGGUGCCUCUUCGAUUUUGGAGCAAGCAAUCUUGUUGGGAGUGUUUUCUCGAAUGUGAGUAAAGGUUGGGCAUGUUUGCUAGUCUACCUUGCCACGAAGCACAGAGGUUGACACACAGGGACUUUCCAAUUAUCCAGCAGUGGUACUGUUCCUUUACCCUUGUGGGUAAUAAUAUGGUAGCUAGACCUUCAAAAUUUAUGUGUCUAAACUUUGUUAGUGCUGUUUCUUUGCUAUUCUUUUACCCUUCUUGGUCAGAGCGAUGUAGUGGGAGCUGCAAGCUUCACGUGCUCAACUUUGGCAGAGAACUUUGGCAAAGUUAUCUGUGGUACCCAUGAGCUACUGUUGCGUGUGGGAAGUGGGUGAUUGAACAGUAAGAUUCAUGUGCUUUUCUACUUCACCAGAAGUUUUCGACAGAAUGCCCAUAAUUUCCGCAAAGCUGAGUGUGCGUGUGACAGGUGCUGACAAGGCUGGAAAAGUAGGUGCCUCUUCGAUUUCUGAGAUCGGCCCUCGUGGUCUCUGAGCAGCCCAGCUUUUGAGAAAGCAAGCGCCUCUUCGAUUUCUGAGAUCGGCCUUCGUGGUCUUUGAGCAGCCCAACUUUUGAGAAAGCAAACGCCUCUUCGAUUUCUGAGAUCGACCCUCGUGGUCUCUGAGCAGCCCAGCUUUUGAGAAAGCAAACGCCUCUUCGAUUUCUGAGCAGGCGCCUCUUCGAUUUCUGAAGCUCCGUCGAGUGCAGAUUUUUAUAGGGGCUGGCAUUAAGUUCCAAAGCACACUUGAAUCUCCACCAGUAGAAGCUCCAUUCUUGCACUUCUAAGAUCUUGAUUUGUUCGACCUCUUUCUCUCUUCAACACCUUUGAAAAUGUCUGGCCCCUCCGACCGUCGUUUUGACUUGAACCUUGUUGAAGAGGCAGCCCCGCCUUCUCCAGACAACAUAUGGCGCCCAUCCUUCGUCUCCCCUACUGGUCCUCUUACCGUUGGGGAUUCCGUGAUGAAGAAUGAUAUGACCGCUGCGGUGGUGGCCAGGAACCUUCUCACUCCCAAAGAUAACAGACUACUUUCCAAACGGUCUGAUGAGUUAGCUGUUAAGGAUUCUCUGGCUCUCAGUGUUCAGUGUGCAGGUUCUGUGUCUAAUAUGGCCCAACGCCUAUUUGCUCGAACCCGCCAAGUUGAAUCAUUGGCGGCUGAAGUGAUGAGUCUCAAACAGGAGAUUAGAGGGCUCAAGCAUGAGAAUAAACAGUUGCACCGGCUCGCACAUGACUAUGCUACAAACAUGAAGAGGAAGCUUGACCAGAUGAAGGAAUCUGAUGGUCAGGUUUUACUUGAUCAUCAUCAGAGAUUUGUGGGUUUGUUCCAAAGGCAUUUAUUGCCUUCGUCUUCUGGGGCUGUACCGCGUAAUGAAGCUCCAAAUGAUCAACCUCUGAUGCCUCCUCCUUCUAGGGUUCUGUCCAGUACUGAGGCUCCGAAUGAUCCCCCUCCGGUGCCUUCUCUUUCUGGGGCUCUACCGACUGCUGAGACUUCUCCUAAGCAACCUUUGUGAAGGCUCCUCUUGUUUGUUUAUUUUGACUCAUGUAUAUGUACAUAUUUGUAGCUUAUCGGGGAUAUCAAUAAAUAAGCUUUCCUUCAUUUCAACGUAUUGUGUUAAAUACACCAAAGCCUUCUUCGCUAAGUUCUUUGAAUUUUCUUUUGUUGUUGAAGCUUUGUGAGUGGAGCAUGUAGGUUGAGGUAGUGUUCCCUUAAUUUCCUGAGUGAGGAAAACUUCUCGGUUGGAGACUUGGAAAAUCCAAGUCACUGAGUGGGAUCGGCUAUAUGAAUCUUAGAACGCCAUUGUGCUCGGUCCUGUGUCAUGUCCUUCGUUAGAUCCAAGUACUCUAAGUCUUUUCUUAGAGUCUCUUCCAAAGUUUUCCUAGGUCUUCCUCUACCCCUUCGGCCCUGAACCUCUGUCCCAUAGUCGCAUCUUCUAAUCGGAGCGUCAGUAGGCCUUCUUUGCACAUGUCCAAACCACCGUAACCGAUUUUCUCUCAUCUUUCCUUCAAUUUCGGCUACUCCUAUUUUACCCCGGAUAUCCUCAUUCCUAAUCUUAUCCUUUCUCGUGUGCCCACACAUCCAACGAAGCAUCCUCAUCUCCGCUACACCCAUUUUGUGUACGUGUUGAUGCUUCACCGCCCAACAUUCUGUGCCAUACAGCAUCGCCGGCCUUAUUGCCGUCCUAUAAAAUUUUCCCUUGAGCUUCAGUGGCAUACGGCGGUCACACAACACGCCGGAUGCACUCUUCCACUUCAUCCAUCCAGCUUGUAUUCUAUGGUUGAGAUCUCCAUCUAAUUCUAUAAGUUCAACUUCAUUGAUACUCCUAGUCAGGGUACUCUUCUGCUUUUAUUUAACCCUGUAGCUCUUCAUGUGCCCCUUCUCUCAUAUAUUUAUGUCAUGCUUGGGCAUGGGGACAAUGUAAUUGAAUGAAAAAUCAUAAUUACUUACUGGUAUAAGGAUGGACAUUAAGUGUACGGAUAAAAGAUUAGUGUUUGAUUUGCUUGUAACUGUGUUUCCAUGGGUUCAAGCUAUGAAGUAUUAUGUCUUAUCGUCUCGCAUAUCUGCCCAAGAUAAAUACGAUUGUAUUUCUGAUUUGCUUGUAGGCCUCUCUAUCUUAUCCAAAGCACUUCAAGGAAUUUUCCUUUGUAUAUAAUUCUUCUGGAUUGGUCUUCAUUUUUCGUUUGCCGCUUCCUUUUCUGUCUUAUUUUAUACUUCUCUCUUCUCAAUAUUCUUGAUUCCUAUCAAAGAAAUAGGGCCCUAAGCACAUGCAGAAAUUUAAGUUCAGGAACAUGAUAUUAUCUUUGUAUGUUACCUCUUCUACCAUGGUUGGUGGAAUGUUAACGAACCACCAAUCCAUGAGUCAGAAGUUAGCAAACCAAUGAGCAUGGUAAUUUCCUUGUCGUUUUCCAUGGUUAAGCUCUCAAUUCACGAUAAUUAUAUGCGAUGAAGGCAUAAUAGCUAAUCCCAUCUGAAAAUGUCAAAUCUACUUAUUUUAAUUUUUUUUCGAUAAAAGUUUGGUCAAAGGCCAUGCUCAGUCUCUUCAUCCGAAUCUCUUUAUCAACAAUUAAGUUAUGUGGGCAAGUGUUAAACUAGACAUUUCACUUGAACACCCUUUCUUGAGUUUGAUUUGGAUGUAAUACAAAAUUAUUCGUUUUGCAGAGAGCGUUCCAGUACGCAGGCUGAAGAUGCAGAGCCAUCGAAGACAUCAUCUCUUUGGGGGAAUAUGAAGUCAUUUGCCAAUGGCAUUAUUAGUCUUUUCAGAAAGCAGUAAAUCUUUGUCUAGGUAACUAUUGGAAGUUUUGGUAUAUUAGUGUAUUUGCAAGUGGUGAUGGCGUAUCUGUCGAGCUUUCUUUGCUCUUGCUACCACUUUUAUCAAUUAAUUCCUUCUUCUAGUUGGAGAGAUGUAUAGCUUUGCAGCCUCAUAUUCUGAAGCUGUAGCAGUUGUUUGAAUAGUUGCAGUGAAGCUUAAAUUUCAAAUUCUUAAGGUCGUUUAUAUGAAAAUCUUUAGAGCCUGUUUGGUACUCUACUUGAAGCCAACUUUUUAAAUUAAAAAACAAUUUUCAAGUUUUACGACUUAAAAACUUAUUUGGUAGGAGUCGUAGGACUAUUUUAAAAAACUAAACUUAAGACUAACUAAAAAAUAGUCUACUCUCUAAAAACAUAAAAAGUGAGUUUUUAGAAUUUUUAAACUUAAACUCACCCUCCCCUCACUCCAAAUCUAUCUCCCUCUCUUUUAUUCUUUCUCUCUCCUCUUUUUUUUUUUUUAACCUUUUUCGUCUCUCCUCCAAUCCACUCUAUUCAUUCUCUCGAUUCUUUUCUCAUUCCCCUUCCUCUUUGUCCCGUCCAAUCCUCUCUCUUCUUCCUCUUUCUUUCAAUCAUCACUUACUUUCUUUUCUCGUCUAUCCUCUUUCUCCCUCUCAUGCGACCCUCUCUUUUUAGAUCUCUUUGUCUAGUUUAAAUCGUAAGAUUUAAAAAUUUUAAAUUGAAAAUCAAUCAAGUUUUUGAGUUUUAAAGAAAAUUGUCUUUAAAAAAUGUUUUGAGAAAUGAUAAAAAAUUUCAAAUAGGAUACCAAACAGGUUAUAUUCUCAUGAAAUUACUGACCAUGAAAGAAAAUAUUACACUUUCUGAGGUAAUUAUAAUGUGCAAAGGGAAAUAAAUACGCAUCGAUCGAAACAUUUUGGAUAAUAGCGUGCAAAGGGAAAACAGUUGCCUGUCCACCGGUAGCAUUUUAAACCGAAAGGUAGAGGGAGCUGAGCUUCAACUUAACGAAGAUCGAACUGAACCAGUAUAUCCCAAAUUAAACCGAAAUACGGGUUUUAAAGUAAAAAGUGAGGGCAAAGUGGAUUACAAGGUCAGUUCAGAGAAAUGAAUUGUAUUGCCUAAAAGAAUAUAUGCAUAUGGUACAUGCUUGAACGAGCAAUUACAAAAACAACGAAACCGAAAAAUAUCCAUCUGGUGUAAAAUGCAUGAAUCGACCUAUGAUUUGGAUACAGUGUCAGUUGCAGUAAGCGUGUUGCGACUUCACUUGCCUCCAGAAUCCAGAUAUGGAGCAACGAAUCAAAAAAUGAGAGGAAUACAACCAAGAAGCCAAUGUAGCUUGCCUGCAGGGUUAUGUUUCUUUUCUAAAGAGCGGAAUCAGCGGCAAAAGCAGCUGCAGCAACGCUUACUUCACCCCCAAGAACUCUCUGGAAAAAGAAAAUUUAACCAUCAUUAUAGUCUUCUCACACUGAAAGUGCAAAAUUUCUGUGUACCGUGUAGCCAGUCGGCACUUCUACACAGUGGAGCGUGGCCAAACACCAUUUGUAUAAAGCAGUUGCAGAAAAGCCAAAGAAACUCUACUCUGUUGCUUUUUUCCGAAUACUCCUCUUCUCUUCUGACCUGUGGUGAAACAACUUAGCUAUGGCUCUCCUCUCGCAAUCCUGCGAUAUUGACAGAAGAGAAGCAGAAAUUUAUAUCCAAUCCACGCCCCUUUUUUCUAUUCUUAAAGAGAAAAAUGCUUGGCUUCUUAUGCAUAAGGAGUAUUCCUCCUCGCAAGAUUGAGGUGUGAAUUGGGAUUUACCCACAUAAGCUUGUGAGGAGAAUAACUUCUUAGUCCUUAUCCAUAAGGCAUCCAAGCACUGUUAUUCUUACUAUUCACCUCAUGUCGGUUCUUACUAUUCACCUCAUGUCGUUUGAGGUGAGAAGAGGUAAUUUUUACGGUAAUUGAAUCAAAUCGAAAUUAUUCACCUAGUUUAUAUUCAGUUUGGCUAUAACCAAUCAUACCUUGAACAUGUUAAGAUGAAAAGGCUUUCCCGGAUUCAUCCUUGUUAACUUCUGGUAUGUAUAAGCAAAACUUAGCUGAUCACGAGGGGUAAAACGCUCAACCUCAUUGAACCAUAGACAGGAAAACAAGUUUGACAUUGGAGUGUGCGCCCGGAUGAUAAAAGACCCUUCUGGUACAUCUGCAGAUGUGAUAAAACAAAUUAUGUCAUGGAUUGGUACAAGCAAGCGCAUUGCAGUCAAAAUAUUAUAAUGAAAACACUCUUUUUUCUCAUUUAAUAAAAUCAUACUGCUGGAAAGAAGCCUGUUGGGAUCCGAGGCAUUAAAUCUUGUUAGGCCAUCAGCCUGGUAGAAUGUAAAUUGUUGAUCUAUGACGGUAUGGUUAUACUUAUUCAAUCUCUUAUUCUGUGCAACCUCUUCCCACACACAGUGUCGGUCGUAGUGAUUGGAAAUUGCAUACUCAUGACCUUUUCGCCACAAAAAGUAUUCCAAUAUGACCAAGGGGUCAAGUUGGAGGCGCAAUUUACUGUCCAGCCAGAUUGAAUACCUGAAAAUUUAUGGAAGGGUUUUAGACGAGCUAAGGAAAAACACCACCCACCAAAUGAACAUACCCAACAAGCAAAGCAUACAAAAGCACAAGUCCUAUUGUAGUAAUAUUCCUCAAUUGUUGGCUUAAUGUCACACUUCCUAGUAUUCUUCAAGAUGUGAAUCAUUUUCGGUAAGACUUGAUUACUGAGAGCAGAAUAUUUGAGUAAUGACUCACAUUUAAUAACUGUUUUUCAUAACUAUUAUGGACACAGAUGCACACGCACAACAUAAUCUACACAACUAACAUGCAUACACACACAAGUUAGCAUCUUUUUUACAACCUUUAAAGGCAGCUACUAAGUAUAACUAACCACCUACAACAUGACAAUUAGUACAUUUUAGUAGUCAAAGUCUCACCUUGCAGAAGGAAAAAGGCGAUGAGGCAAAAGUUUUGGUAUCUUUCCCACUCGCCGCAUAUCAGUGUAUGGUAGGUUCUUCACCACCACAAUCUUCCAUAAACCAAUAAAACCCAUCCUAUCUGGUGUUCGCCCUUCAGCAGUUAGGGUUUGCAAAGUAACUUCAUCAAUGAACAUAACAAAACAAACAUUCUUCCUUGACAAACGAGAGACCUGAAAUCAAGAGAAUUUCGCUUGGGUCACCAUUCUUUUUUACUCUGUAUUUCUUUUCCCCUUUGUUGGCUAUGCCAUUUAUUGCAAAUUUAUGCCUAAAUCAAAGAAUCUUACCUUCUUUUUUUUUUUAAACUGAAUAAAGAUAAAAAAAAAAAUUAAUAAACUAAAAAGUGCAUUGUUAUUGGAAAUUUCCAGUGGAUAACUAUAAGACCAUUAAAGAAGACCAGCCCAAGUAUUAGAAUCAUAUAAACAAAUGUGUGAUUUAACCAGAACAUGGGACAAGAAAAAUCACAACUCUGAAAUAUGGGAAAAUAAAAUCCUACUGAGCAUAAAGUGGACCUGAUGAAGUGAAGAAUGUCUGAGAUUAUCCCAAAUAGUGAAGCAAGUUCAAUCCCAAAGUUACAUUUGAUGUGUUGGUCUACAUUGCACAUCAUUGAAUUUCAACUUAAAAGAGUGUUGCAAGCUUAGAUCAUAAAAGGUCCAUGUUCCACUCUAAUCACAGUACACAGCAGACACUAUAUUCCACAAGUUCAGUAAUGAACAACACAAACCUUGGAGAUUCGUAAUUGACUUCCUUUUUCUCACUAGAAAUGCACUGGACUUGCUCUAUCAUGUGAGAGUUGAACAACCAUGUAAUAAGAGAAAGGCCCGAAACAUUGUUAUUUAUUGGUAGGUGUAAAAGUUAUUGUAAAAGUUAUGACAUGAAGCAAAAGGCAUGAUAUGGUGUAAAAGGUAUAAUGUCUACCGUUAAUCCUAUGAGUUAUAGUUCCAUAUUUCACUUACAUAUGACAUGAGUAAUAGUCCAUAUUCCCUUUUGUUUUCAUUCAUCAAACCCAGCUUAACAUGUCAUGGCGUAAAACUUCAAUUUACUCCUGUGUCAAUGGAUGGUAAAAGCCCAAUGCUUGACAAAGAUGAUAUGAAACAUUUUUUUGUUUUUCCUUGACAAGAAAGAUGAUAUGAAAACUGGAGAACAUCAAACAAAUGCAAUUACAUCCUUAAGAGAACAGUAUAAAAUUGUUCCCCCAUAAAAAAUGAACCUCCUUACCAUUUUAUCAUAAGGUGUCCUCAAGCGAUCUGAAUUUCCAAAGAUACAAGAGCUAACAGCGAUGUGGCAUCUGCUGAUGUAAUUUCUGUCAUCUUCUGCCAAGUCAAAUCCAGUGCUUGGGGAUCCUUGAGGACCUUUAACAAAGCCGCACUUUAUGUUUUGAUCACGUGCCAAAAAGGAAUUUUCCCGUUCUUGCACAGAUUGAUGUCCCGCAAAUCUCGGUUCCCAUUGCUCUUCUCCUUCAGGCUUGUCCUCUACUUCAGCAUACUGCAAGCUGAAUCUUGCAAACUUUCGACUUUCUAAAGGCUCUAUAAGCAUUGCACUAGAGUUUAAAAACUUCAUCUCACAAGAGGAACCUGAAGAAUUUCAUUAUGACGUGUCAAAAACACAACAGCAGCAACAAGGAGCAUCCCCUAAAGUUGCUAGAUCAAAGGACAACUCCUGUCAUGAAGACACAUUCAACUAUAUGCAUAAAACAAUCCUUCAAAAACCAAGCCAGAAAAAAAACAGGUAUAAUGGCUCUUCCAACCAGUCAUGGUCUAAUUCACAGCAUUUACUCCUAACAACCACUUCCUAUAAACACCUGAAAUUUGUUACUCCAAGAGAACAUGCACAAGAAAAUAUCAUGAUUCACAAAACCAGUUCUUAUACAUAAGGAGCAGCAUCAAACAAUCAUUGCCAAGCUCAAGUUUUGUUCUUCCAGUGCCACCUAGUGCAUGUAGGACUGGCAAUACGUAUAAGUUUAAGACAUGCCAAAUUUGCGAAGCCAAAAAUGUAUUGAUACAGAACCAUAAAAAUUAACCAAGCAAAACCAUGAUCGGUUCCUUUGAGGUUAAUGAAGUUUAAGGACUCAACACUACGGUCAUGAUUUUAUUGUACUACCGACAACUUGAGAACGCUGUAGUAAUCUAGCGGCUUCCUUUUCCUUUUUUGUAGUAAUUGAAAUAAAUUAAGGACAUAUAGUAUGGGGAGUGUAGAAAUUACUCCUAUUGCCAAACCAGGAAAAAAGAAGUGGUUGUAGCUUUGAAAAAGAUGAAGCAUAGAAAAGCAGUGGGUCCCAAAGGUAUACUGAUCGAAGUGUGGAAGGUCUUUGAAGAGACGGGUAUAGCAUGGCUCACAAACCUUUUCACUAAGAUUUUGAAAACGAAGAAUACCAAAUGAGUGGCGAAAAAGCACUUUGGUGCCUAUUUACAAGAAUUAGGGUGACAUAAAUGAACUAUAGGAGUAUUAAGUUAAUGAGUCAUACAAUGAAGCUUUGGGAGGAGAAAGUAAUUGAGCAUAGACUAGAAAGAGACAAGGGUCUCAAACAAUCAAUUCGCAUUCAUGCCAGGGCGCUCAACUAUGGAGGCAAUCUAUCCCUGACAGAGAUUGAUGAAACUAUAUAGAGAUACGCAAAAGGAUUAAAGAUUUGCACAUGGCCUUUAUAGAUUUGAAAAAAGCGUUUGGUAGGGUCCAAAAGAAAUUCUUUGGAGGAUUCUAGAGAAGAAAGGAGUACAAGUAGCAUAUAUCCAAGCAAUAAAGGACAUGUACGAUGGAGCAAUGAUUGCAGUAAGAACUCAUGAAAUACAAACUGAAAGCUUUCCCAUAACCAUAGGGUUCAUCGGCUCAACUUUAAGUCCUUAACUUUUUGCAUUGUUAAUAGAUGAGUUAACGGACAUAUUCAAGAUGAUAUCCAUGCUUUUUGGAGAUGAUAUAGUGCCCGUAGAUGAAAUACAGGAGGUAGUAAAUGCGAAGCUUAACCUUUGGUGGGAAGUGUUGGAAUCUAAAGGUCUUCGCCUAAGUAGGUCAACGACAGAGUAUAUAGAGUGCAAGAAUGGGGUUCUAAAUGAAAUAGGGGUGAGUAUUGGAGAUCAAGAAGUACCAAAGAGUGAACGCUUUUGUUAGCUUAGAUUUAUCUUGCAAAAGAACGGAGAAUUCAAUGGAGAUCUCAACCGUAGAAUACAAGCUAGAUGGAUGAAGUGGAAGAGUGCAUCGGGUGUGUUGUGCGACCGUCUAUGCUACUAAAGCACAAGGAAAAUUUUUAUAGGACGACAAUAAGGCCAACAAUGCUUUAUGGUACAAAAUGUUGGGCGGUCAAGCAUCAACACGUGCAAAAAAUAAGUGUAGAAGAGAUGAGAAUGCUUUGUUGGAUGUGUAGGCACACAAGAAAGGAAAAAAAUCAAGUACGAGGAUGUUCGAUGUCAAGUAGGAGUGGCCGCAAUUGAAGAUAAGAUGAGAGAAAAUCGAUUAAGGUGGUUUAGACAUGUGAAACGAAGACCUACAUAUGCUUUGGUUAGAAAAUGUGAUUACGAGACUGAGGAUCAAGGCAAAAGGGGUAGAGGAAGACCUACGAAGACCUAAGAAGAAAUGGAAAGAGACUUUAAGAAAAGACAUGGAGUACUUGGAGCUAACGGAAGACUUGGUGCAAAUCCGAGCGCAGUGGCGUUCUAGGAUUCAUACAGCCGACCCCAUUUCGUGGGAUAAGGCUUUGAUGUUGUUGUAUAGUAUGGGGAGUAGAUGAAAAGUCACUUCCAUAUUAUACCAGUAUACUGAAAUUAUGCAGUUACUCAGCUGCAAAAAGAAUUAACUGUUCUGUCUGCACUCAGUAGCACUUCUAUGAUUUGAAAUAAGAACUAACUGUUUUGUCUGUACUAAGGAGUACUUCUCUGAUUUUCAUAGAGAUUCUAAUUUACAAUCAAUAGCAUGCAAAGUGCAAAUGAAUUUUAGAUUCAGAAGAAGAAGCCAAGAUGCAUUUCACUAGUGCAAGCUGAAUCCAAUAUCAAUAAAUGAAAGAUAAAUGUAAUUAAACAUGGUUCACACACACCAAUCUACAAGAACAAACAGAUAAUUUACCAGAAUAUUUGCGGCGCUUAGCUUUCUUUUUCGUACCGGACCGCGACUUUCUUGAAGAUUGACCAGAAAUUACACUCACAUGCCUGGAUUUUGUGUUAACUUCAUCCAGGUUUCCAGAGUGCUGAGCAGAGUCAUUUUCAAAUGAAUUGGCGGAGACUUUAUCAACCUUCUCGGGAACAUUUUGAUCAUUAAUUCUAACAUCAGGAACAUCUCUACCAUCAUCAUGUGAUUUUUCUUCACCAAAAUGGUCAUCAUUCUGAUGUCUUGUAUCAUUAUAUUCAUCCAUGUGAGUUUCAUGAAAAUCAAUCCCGUCAUCAUAUUCGUCAUCAACAUCAAUUACAUCCUUUUGCUUAACCAAAUCUUCAUCCUUUUGCUUAUCCAAAUCUUCAUCCUUUUGCUUAUCCAAAUCUUCAUCCUUAUACUGUUGAAUGUUCUUCAGAGAGGCCUCAUACUCUGCUUCAUAAACUUUCAACUCAUUGCGCCCAGCUUCGUUGUACAAUCCCCCUUUCCUAUUGUAACUUUUACUUAAGUAGUCAUUUGAGGACUUCUUGUCACUGCUUUUAACACUCACAGGAACAUCACCCUUAUAUGUGGAUUUAUCCCUAACACCUGCACUACUAUGCUCCACCUCAUCCUCGUUAUAAUCUUCAUCCCUUCUCCUAUCAUCUUUAUCCCAAUACCUAGAAUCUCGGCCAUGAACUACCGAACCCUUUCCAAACCUAAGGACCUUAGAAGUCUCUGUACGUGUCACGUUUGCGAGAAAGUCAGGAUCAUUCUUCAAGUCGUCUUCCUCAGCAUGACUAUUUAUUUCUGCACCAACACGAGAAAGCAAUCACUUGAGCUAGAAUCCAUAUACUUCCAUAACCACAUACUGUUGAGUUAAUCAUAACAAAAAUGUAAAGGCGUAUUUUGUAACAUUUCUUCAACAACCAUGGAAAGGAAAUUAAACAAUUAAUUGGGUUGAUCCUUUUCCUGUAUAUUAUCGACAAUCAAACCAGCACAUUAAAUACUCAGAAUGCAAGUGAAACAUAGUGACAAGCUCUUUUUCUCCGAAUGUUUCGCUCUUUCUGCUUAACAAAACAUGAUCAUAUGCUUAGCUAAAAUGAACUGUAACACAGAUCUUUCAUUGCAGAAACACUUGGUUCUCUCCGAAACCGAAAUGCGAAAUCAACUAAGAAACUAAACUAGAAUGAUCACUGUUUCUAUAUUUUCUCAGCAACCAAACAAAGGCAGUCGCCACCAAACAUUCAAAGUGCAUAAGAUUGACAACUAACUAACUCUCCUUUCCUUUCCUACAUUUUCCCUGAAACCAAACAGAAAGUUAUUGUAGAAAAUUGACAAGCAAAAGCAAAACAUACAUACCUCCGCUGCUGCGGGAGAGGUAAUAGUAGGCGAGAAGAGUGGCAAGGAGGACUAGAGAGAGGACGAGGACGACGGCGCCAACGGAGAUUCUAAGUGGGCCCUUGUCGGAUCGACCCGAUCGGCGGGUCCGAACGGGCUUGUGGGGAGCGGAGCGGAUCCCUACGACGAGGUGAUCUGGUCGUCCUCCGCCGUUGGAAUGGUGGGGAUCGUGGCCGCGUAAUCCCAACCGCUCCAGCCCUGACUGCCUCUGCUGAGCCAUUAUUGCAUCGUUAAUUUCAGUCCCCUCUCUCUACGCUGUGGAGUCCUCCCACAAAUUACGUAUGAUUUGACUACUCUCCGCUUUUUUAUUUUUUAUUUAUUUUUUUUUCCGUUUGCGAAGAGUCUGAAGGAAGAGCGUGAAUACUAAAAAAAGACGUAAGAUAUUGCGUUGUUUGUAACAGCGGUAAACUGUUAAAUUGUGAGCGGAUGAAAUUGAAAUAAGCCCACCCUCCACCCUAUACAACACGAUAAGACGAAGACCUGGUUUGGGAGUUAGGUGCUUAAAAAAAACACCCAUAAAAAAAAAUUGUGAGGGUUUUAAGUAUUUGGUAAACUGAAAAAAAAGGCUGAUUUUGGAAGCUGCUGUGAGAAUAAGCUGAAAUCAAAAGAAAAAGCUGAAGAUGCUAUUUGCAGCUUUGGAAAACUGGCUUUUUUUUCAAAGCACACGCGGAAGUACAGUGCUCCUUUAAUGAAAAGACCCACAAUCAGACUGUUUUUUUUUUUCCAAAAGCACUUUUACAAAAAAGUUUACCAAACAGUCUGCUGAUUUAUUUCACAACCGCUUAUUCUCACAGCAUAACCGUUUAUUCUCGCAGCAAUUUUUUUUCAAAGCACAGCAAUACCAAACCAGCAUGAAAACUAAUGAUUGUCAAAAUAAUGUGUGAUAUAAAAAUAUAUCUAAUAAUUGUCAAAAUCAAAAUAAACCUGUGAGGACCCAGCAGGAGCAACAGCAGAGUCCUUCAAAUUCCUUAUCAUCAUUCGUCUAAUAAUCCAUUUCAGUUUCUUUUCCCUCCACCUCUCUCCCGCACACCAAAAUCCCCAAAACACUGAGAUGGCCAUGGCCAUGGCCUUGUCAUCAACACCUCGCAUUCUCUCUCCUUAUUGCCCAACGCACCACUCAUUUCUCUCUCACACUUCUCUCUCUUCCUUACCCAGGACUGCCACCACCCUCUCCGCCUUCCCAACUUCUCCAGCGCUUCCGAAAUCUCCAUCGAAUAGCAGAAGAAUCAAGUGCGUCGAUAAGGCCUCUUCGGCUUCGAGCGCCGAUCCAACGUCUGGAAUUGCAGUCUACAAGCCCAAGUCCUAUGAAGUUCUUGUUACUGAUGCUGCAAGAUCGCUUGCUUAUGCUCUCGAAGACGGGAAGACCCGCUUGGAGAUUGAUUUCCCGUAAGUCCUCUUGCUCUUUUGUACGUUUAUUUCGAUUAGAAUUUUUGAGUUUUGAGAGAAAUUGCAGUACAAGUUAUGGAAGAUUUUGAAGUUUCUAACUUUUGUUUGUUUCAUGGGAAAUUGGUAAUUUUCAGAGUGGUUUCUUGGUGCCCAUUUGGUUAAUCUAGCUUGGAAUGGUUUUAGUAAAACCCAGCUUAGAAUGUUCAUUUGUGAGCAUGCUAUUUCAGUGCAUUUGGACUGAUUCGGUUUAUCUUUUGUUAUAAAUUUCUUGUUUUAGAUUGUAAAAUCUCCAUAUACGUACAUCAUUCCUGAAAGUAGCCUUUGGGAUUAGAUAUCGCUGCUGAAAUUUACCUUCCAUGGUGUUGAAUUCAUAUAUGUUCGGUCAGCGUACCAGCUAGUUCUUUGUCUAGUUGUAUUUCUCUAUUGAAUGUUCAAAGAGAUCCUAAGUUCGAAUCCCACCUCGCCCAUUGAUCAGAGAAAUAUAUGUUAACUAAGUGAAGCUCAGGCAUGAUCAAUUAGGGAUUAAUGUUAUUUAUGACGAUGUUGAGCACACUGUAAUUUUGGGAAUCUUGACAUGUUUGGUACUAUAAAUAACUUUCCAUUUAGGAAAAAGAUGGAAUUUAUCUUACAAAGGCUGAGAAGCUUAUGGGGCAACAAAGAAGUAGAACAAGGCUUCGGGAAGCUUACUUGACGAAAUAAAAACUUGGUUAAGACAGUGCAUGAUAAAGGGCACAUUACCUUGGAAAUGCUAAUAAUAAUGUAAAAUAUUUAUGGAAGUUUGUUAAAAGAAUGUUAUGCAGUUUAGAGACUACUAGAUAAUGUGAGUUCAUUCUUUUCUUUGGGAUUCCAAACUAUCUUUCCACUUGGAUGAGCAUUUUGGUAUGUUUCUUAUUGUUUAGACGCUUGGUUGGAUAUAAUAUUUUUGCCCUUCUAAUACUUAUUCUUUUUCAUGUACCUUAUAUUUUCGAGCUUGUGCCUCCAGUCCCCUGCCUAGCGACAUAUCUUCUUAUAAGGUAUCUCUUUUUGCUACCAAGUUAUUAGAUUACUGGAUGACCCAUAAUGGUCACACGCUAUUGUUUAUUAAAGGUUCUGUUCACUUUCCACUAGUUCCUUAUAAGAUGCAUCCUGUUUCCACUCUAUGUAGUCAUCAGUGUUACUUGUUUUUUGUGUUCUGUUUUUCUUGGCGCUACUUAAACUUUAAAGUUAUGCUACACUUACGCCCCAACCCCAAAGAAAAAAAUGCUAUACUUUAGCCCCAAAUCAUUGUUCUUUGAUUUCAUCUUAUCAAUUACAGUGAUAUAGCUUCUUGAUGACACAUAGCAAUCUGAAUACAUGAGACAUAAUUUUCUCAACUUCCUAAACAUGUAAAAGGGGUCUUCAGAUGAAUUCAUUGAUGCGAAUGUACAACUUGUCUUGGCUGUUGUAAGGAAGCUCAAAGAAAUACGGGAAACAAGAGCUUGCAUUGUAAGAAGAAUCUUUGUUUCACAUAGACAUUUUAUUUUGUCAAUUUAAAGAGUAUGCUAAAAAAUUUCUAUCUUCAGGUGUUUCCUGAUAAGCCAGAAAAGCGCAGGGCCUCUGAGCAGUUCAAAACGGCUAUCGACUCAGUAAAAACAUAACUCAGAAUUUUACUAUUCUCUAAUUUCUUUGUGUAAUUUAAAUGCACCAGAUCUCCUCACCCCACAAAUUCAGAAUUGAUUUAGUGAUUGAGAAUAACUUUGCGAUCAGAAAAGGUGAAAUAUUGCCAAAAGGGCUCUUGAGUAAGUAGAUUACCGUUCAACAUUAAGCUCUCUAAAUCGUUUUUUUCAUUUUGAUUAUUUUCUUUCAGCUCGAUGAUAUAACAAUAGGUUCCCUGGAUGAUGUCCCCAGUGGUCCAGUCACCAAGUUCUUCCAAUCUAUAAGGGACACACUUGAUUUUGACUUUGAAGAUGAAAAUGAAGGUUGAUUAUGAAUUUAUAAUAUAGGACUCAAAUGCUUGCUUGUUUAUUUCGUCAAAUGAAUGCUUGUGUUCCUCUUCUUAAUUUCAUCUCAACUGAAGAUUUUCAUGCUAAUUUGAUUGCUUUCUUUUUGUUCAACGUAUGAUCCAUUUUAUCCGUGGAGUACUAGUUUUCAUCACUAUGUUAUAUCUUACAAUUGCAGGUCGCUGGGCAUCCAGUCAGCCUCCCUCUCUUUAUAUUUUCAUAAAUUGUAGCACUCGUGAGCUUGCUCCAAUAGAGAAGUAUGUGGUAUGGUCUCCUCUUUUUUAGUUCUCUCAACCAUUUUGAAUGUUUGACUUGCAGUCAUGAUUUUAAUAUCAUUUGAUAGAUGAAUGCUCGUUCCUACCAUUAAAUUUUGUUAUAUAUAUAUAUAUAUAUAUAUGAGUUUUAUGUUUGAUGAUUGUAUACUUCUAUAAGUAUUAACUAUGGUUUUGGACUUGAAAACUUUUAAGGGUUUCUUAUGGUGUCAUAACUUUCGCAUGCUAGUUAUAUUAAUUGAUAUUUCCCAAUCAAUAUAUUUCUGUAAGAUUAGUUUGAUACCAGUAAUCUUUCUAGUGCUGCAGAUUUAUCUUUUGGAAUCUAAAAAAAAACAGUCGUUUAAUCUAGAAGAUCUAGAAACUGACGCACAAAACUCUGCUAAGCCAUUUCAAGAUUAUGAACUUGAAAAUUACAGAGGUCAAGAAAUUAAAUGUGCUAGCAUUGGUUAUUUAGUGAUCUAUCAAAUGUGUACUCCCUCUAUUACUGGAUCCGAGGCCUGUGGUUUUAGGAACAUGUAGUCUUAUGCAUAUUUUCAGGUUCAACUCACAAGUGCACUUGUUUUACGUAUUUACUAAAUUCCAUGUACAAUUGAAUUGAUAAUUUGAUUUAUUGGGCAUCUUAAAAUGUUAAGGUGUAGUAUAUAUGCCAUUUCCCGGCUACAUAAUCUUAUUCCAAUUCUGUAGCUAAGUAUAGCAUCGAGUCUAAAGGUGUCAUCGUCUUGUUAUAAGUUUGAAGUGUCUGCGUUCUGAAGUUGACUGUUUCACAUUUUAAAUCAUGAGAAUUGUGUGGCUGGUGUUAUUGAAUCUGUCAAUUAUUGUGUGAAGUAUUAUUGCUGCUGCUGCUGCCUCUUUUCCAACUGUAACUCUUUGGGAUUUGCAGGAAACAUUUGCCAUGUCAACCCCAACACUUCUAUUUAAUCUUGAACUAGACACAUUGCGGUAAUCCUUAUUGACCAUCCAUUGGAAUCUGAUUUUGCUAUCUCUGAAUAUACUUUUCAUCUUACAUUAGAAAUAUACUUUUCAUCUUACAUUAGAAUCUGUUAAUUAUGCAGUGCCGACUUGGGCCUUUUUGGCUUUCCAACCAAAGAUUUGCACUAUCGCUUUCUUUCUCAAUUUACACCAGUGUUCUAUAUCCGAAUAAGAGAUUACUCAAAGGUAUACAAUUAAUUUGCAUUUCAUAAUUUUUUUUCUUAAUAUAAAUUUUUGGUAACCAUGUAUUUGUUAACUCUCAAGACAGUAGCAGUAGCGCCUUAUAUAGUGAAUUACAGUGGAGCUAUUUCGCCAAUACCCUGGUAUGUAAUAUGUUUUCUUUUUAACAAAUUUUACCACCUGAUUGUUGUCUAUUCCUCGUCCUAUCCUUGAUAACCUUCAUUAAGGUUUAUAAUCUAACUUCUCACAUAAAUUGGAGCACAUUACUUGGAUUUUAGAUUAGACAAUAAGUUCUCGGAGGAAUGAUUAAAGAAUAGUCAGAAGUUAUUUUAAGUUAUGCUAAAUUAUGCAAGGCCUAUUAUCCAUGUGACAAGGGUUUCUCAACAUUAAUGCCUGUUUGGAUUUGACGAAGAAUGCAUUGUUCAUGUUUGCAAAUCGUGGUCACAAAAGUAACCCAUUAUAAGCACGUCAAUAAAUAUUUAUUCUUGUUUGUUUCCAACAGUCUAGAAUUUGAUUAUUUUGGGACCAUUUGUACUACUUGCAGAAUCUGUGUGCAUCUUUGUUCUAACACUGACUGUUAUUCUUUUUGGUAUGGAGUAGCCUUGAUUUUAUUGUAAUUAACGUUUGUACUUGGAGGUGUUAUUAUUACGGUGGCGAGGGACAUAUAUUCAUCUUACUAGGAACAUUUUAUUUAUCAAUAUAAUCGUUGUUCUCUGAUAUCCUUUUUUGUACGUUUUAGAAGUUAGUAUAUACGACACUUCCAUUUUUCUGUUUUAUACUUUAUGAAAAACAAGACGAAAUCAGCUAUGUGCUAUGUGAUUCUCACUGGAGGUUUAUAAAAUCUUAUUCUGUGACGCCUUAAGGUGUCUGGUUGUCCCUUUGUAAUUUCUUUACCAACUACAACAACAACAACAACAACAACAAAGCCUUUUCCCACUAAGUGGGGUCGGCUAUAUGAAUCCUAGAACGCCAUUGCGCUCGGUUUUGUGUCAUGUCCUCCGUUAGAUCCAAGUACUCUAAAUCUUUUCUUAGAGUCUCUUCCAAAGUUUUCCUAGGUCUUCCUCUACCCCUUCGGCCCUGAACCUCUGUCCCGUAGUCACAUCUUCGAACCAGAGCGUCAGUCGGCCUUCUUUGCACAUGUCCAAAUCACCGGAGCCGAUUUUCUCAUCUUUCCUACAAUUUCGGCUACUCCUACUUUACCUCGGAUAUCCUCAUUCCCAAUCUUAUCCUUUCUCGUGUGCCCACACAUCCCACGAAGCAUCCUCAUCUCCGCUACACCCAUUUUGUGUACGUGUUGAUGCUUCACCGCCCAACAUUCUGUGCCAUAAAACAUCGCUGGCCUUAUUGCCGUCCUAUAAAAUUUUCUCUUGAGCUUCAGUGGCCUACGACGGUCACACAACACGCCGGAUGCACUCUUACACUUCAUCCAUCCAGCUCGUAUUCUAUGGUUGAGAUCUCCAUCUAAUUCUCCGUUCUCUUGCAAGAUAGAUCCUAGGUAGCGAAAACGGUCGCUUUUUGUGAUCUUCGCUAGAUUGCUCCGGUCAUUAGUGUGGAUAAGUAUAUAAAUGGAUAGAGAUAGGAAAGCAAACACAAGAUGUACGUGGUUCACCCAGAUUGGCUACGUCUACGGAAUAGAAGAGUUCUCAUUAAUUGUGAAGGGUUUACACAAGUACAUAGGUUCAAGCUCUCAUUUAGUGAGUACAAGUGAAUGAUUUAGUACAAAUGACAUUAGGAAAUAUUGUGGGAGAAUGAUCUCGUAAUCACGAAACUUCUAAGUAUCGGAGUGUGGUGUCGUCUUGACUUGCCUUAUCUGUCUCAUAGGUAGAUGUGGCAUCUUCUCUGGAAGUACUCUUCCUCCAUCCAGGGGUGGUAUCUUUAACUGGUGGAGAUGCACAAGGUAAUGUAUCAAUUUCACUUGAAGCUUACUUGUAGUUUCAGGCUUGGUCAAGCGCGAUACAAACCAUGUAGUAGGAGUCCCCCAAGUCGCCGAGCUAGGGGGUCUGCUGAAAGAGGUGACAGACAAGGUAAGCAAUCAGAGCUCCGACUGAUUGUUCACCUUCUCCCCAUCUUGCAGCAGCAUGAAGGAUAAAGAGAAGAAAAAAUGAGAAGAGAUGAUAUGAGAUACUUUUGCUUUUGAAGAAGUAACUUUCCACAGGCUUAUUCUUGAACUGAGCUGGAGGGUUUUCUGGUUUCCUCCAGAGUAUAAGGCCGACUGAAGAAUUUGAGGGUCAAAACAAGUCCAUCAAAUCUAGAGUACGUUCCACCCUGCUGAUAUGGGAUACUUUUGCUUUUGACAGAGUAAUGGAUGUAUCGGCACGUGUGCUGUUACGCUUGUCUCCACAUGCUUCCUUGUAUCCUUCGCACUUGCCCUAUCUGUUCCUCAAGCAGAUGCGUAAUCUUCCCUGGAAACAUAACAUGUUGAAGAUGAGUACUCGAGAGCAAUGCCAGGUAAGUAAUCAGGUAAGGAGUUCCAGGCAGUCAGUUCCUGGCUGGAAGCUUGAUUCCAAGUGCUGACUGAUUGCUCUCUUUCUCCUUGUCUUGCAGGUAAAAACAAGGCCAAAGGAAAAGACAGGGAAAAAACAUGAUAUGGGAUACUCUUGCUUUUAACCCUGAUGAUAUGAGAUAUUC
rnacentral:lncRNA from 1 species